rnacentral:rRNA from 1 species
UGUUUCGGCUAGGGGGCCAUCCCGGCUUACCAACCCGAUGCAAACUGCGAAUACCGGAGAAUGUUAUCACGGGAGACACACGGCGGGUGCUAACGUCCGUCGUGAAGAGGGAAACAACCCAGACCGCCAGCUAAGGUCCCAAAGUCAUGGUUAAGUGGGAAACGAUGUGGGAAGGCCCAGACAGCCAGGAUGUUGGCUUAGAAGCAGCCAUCAUUUAAAGAAAGCGUAAUAGCUCACUGGUCGAGUCGGCCUGCGCGGAAGAUGUAACGGGGCUAAACCAUGCACCGAAGCUGCGGCAGCGAACGUAUCACUUAAAGCGAUUCAGCGGGUUACGAUUGACGGAGCGAAGCGACGUCAAAGCGUAUACAAAGUCGAGUCGGUUUAAGGAUACGUUCGUUGGGUAGGGGAGCGUUCUGUAAGCCUGCGAAGGUGGCCUGUGAGGGUUGCUGGAGGUAUCAGAAGUGCGAAUGCUGACAUAAGUAACGAUAAAGCGGGUGAAAAGCCCGCUCGCCGGAAGACCAAGGGUUCCUGUCCAACGUUAAUCGGGGCAGGGUGAGU